GUUGAUGAGUAGAUCCCAGUAUGGUGAACAAGAGGGAUAGAUUGCCAUCUCUUGGAGUUUGGUGUCCAUUGAGACAGGUGGACAAUCACAUAAUCCAAUAAGAAAGUGCAGUGCACUGACAUCCGGCCUGGAUGGGAGGGAUCAGAAGGCUUCCCUGAGGUUGUGAUGGUGGCACCGAGGUUGGAGGGAUGGUGGUGGAGUGAGAGGUCAGCAGAGAGAAUUACCUGUGUAGUGCCCCAAGUGGGAAAGGUGCAGAGUGCUUUGAAGGAACUAGUGUGAACAAGGCUGAAGGAAGAGAACGCGGCUGGGAGUGUAAAGUAAUCCCGAAAGCCCCCGAAAACCACGAAAUUGGACAGCGCAAUGCAAAAGGGAGCAGAGCUUUAGACCUG
rnacentral:lncRNA from 1 species